rnacentral:rRNA from 1 species
UAAUACGGAGGGUGCGAGCGUUAAUCGGAAUUACUGGGCGUAAAGGGUGCGUAGGUGGUUUAAUAAGUUAUCUGUGAAAUUCCUAGGCUCAACCUGGGCGGGUCAGAUAAGACUGUUAGACUGGAGUAUGGGAGAGGGUAGUGGAAUUUCCGGUGUAGCGGUGAAAUGCGUAGAGAUCGGAAGGAACACCGGUGGCGAAGGCGGCUACCUGGCCUAAUACUGACACUGAGGCACGAAAGCGUGGGUAGCAAACAGGAUUAGAUACCCUGGUAGUCCACGCUGUAAACGAUGUCAACUAGCUGUUGGUCACGUGAAUGUGAUUAGUAGCGCAGCAAACGCGAUAAGUUGACCGCCUGGGGAGUACGGUCGCAAGAUUA